rnacentral:rRNA from 1 species
GACGAACGCUGGCGGCGUGCUUAACACAUGCAAGUCGAACGAAGUGGCGAACGGGUGAGUAACGCGUAAUCAACCUGCCCUUCAGAGGGGGACAACAGUUGGAAACGACUGCUACUACCGCAUACUGAAGGAGGGGAUUGCGUCUGAUUAGCUAGUUGGAGGGGUAACGGCCCACCAAGGCGAUGAUCAGUAGCCGGUGUGAGAGGAUGAACGGCCACAGUGGGACUGAGACACGGCACAGAGUCCUACGGGAGGCAGCAGUGGGGAAUCUGCGGCAAUGGACGAAAGUCUGACGGAGCAACGCGGCGGGAGUGAUGACGGCCUGCGGGUGGUAAAGCUCUGUGAAUCGGGACGCGGUACCGGAAUAGAAAGCCACGGCUAACUACGUGCCAGCGGCCGCGGUAAUAC